rnacentral:lncRNA from 1 species
UGAGUUUAUGUUUUGAGCGUAUAUUUCACGUUCAAUUUUAAGUAAUUACCAUUUAAUCCAAGUUUAUAAUGUUUUUUCAAAACAACCCAAAAAUAUAGGGUAUUUUUGUAAGUACCCUUUAUUUCAUUUUGUUAUGGGUUAGUUAUUGUUUACUGGGUCAGUUGUUUAUUUUCGUAAGUAAUGGGCUAUGCCCCAUGUCGUGUAACAGGUCAUUGUCCGUGGCCUAUGCUAUUUCAAUUCAAUGAAAAGAUCACCAUCAGUUUAAUCAAAUUUACAGACUUACAGGAGGCCUGGUAACCUCGAAUUACUACCCAUUUAUUUACUUACUAUUACGUAAUUUUGGGGCAUAACAGUGGUAUCAGAGUUGCGUUUCUAGCGCCACGGUUGACGGUACUCGCCAUGCUCAAUUGGCUGAUGCUAUCGCAACCCUCAAAGGAGAGAACAACAACCUGCAUGAAGAGCAAGAACGGCAAAAGGACAUGUUAGCUGCAGUUCUUCAGCAAAUUAGUAAUUUGGCUUCUAGCUAUGAACAUUUGGCAGCAAAUCAAAAUUCAGGAAAAGGGUCUUCUAAUUCUAAGGUCAGUAGCAAUCCUUUGUUUGAAGGGAAUGGGGGCAUUCAAGCUAGAUCUUUAAGACUGGAUUUCCCUAAAUUUGAUGGUACUAAUCUGGAGCAAUGGACUCAAAAAACACAACAGUUUUUUGAAUAUUAUAUAACCCCAGAUGACCAAAGAUUACAAAUAGCAUUCUUUCAUAUGGAAGGUAAAACACUCUCAUGGUGUAGCUGGCUAAAGGAUUCAAGCCCAGUCCAAUCCUGGGAUGACUUUGUUUCACCCCUAGUAGUGACAUUUGGACCCUCGGCCUAUGAGGAUACUGUUGGGGAAUUCACUAAACUUAAACAAAUUGGUACUGUUGAAGUAUAUCAAACACAAUCUGAAAUGCUAUCUAACAAAAUAAGUGGCUUAUCUGAAGAGUUUAGAAUCAAUACCUUUUUGAGUGGGCUAAGAGAUGACUUGAGAAUCACGGUGACUAUGUUUAAACCUUCCACUCUAUCAUCUGCUUUUGGCUUGGCAAGGUUACAAGAAGAGGAGGUGUUAAUGUGUGUCAAAGGCAACAUAAAUAAAUUCCCUACCUACCCAACCACCAACUCACAUUACCCAUCUAGACUCCUGAUGCCAGCCCCUAUACUUAGACUGCCAGCCCUACCAGAUAAAACCAACCAGAAACAUCAACCUUUCAACAAUCCAAAAAGAACCAAUAUCCCCAUAAAGAGAGCCAAUCCCACUCAAAUGCAAGAAUGGAAAGGGGUAAUUAGCACAAAACAUCCCUACCUUUCGAUGUUUUUGUGGAAAACGUCCCUAUCUUUCAUUUUUUGGUGGAUUACACCCUUACCUUUACAUUUUUUUGCGCAAAACGUCCUUCUGUCAACUCUCCGUUAAAAUGCUCCGUUAAAUCAAAAAGGUAAUUAGCACAAAAGGUCCCUACCUUUCAAAGUUAUUGUGCAAAACGUCCCUACCUUUUAUUUUUUAGCAUAAUUAGCAGAAAAGGUCCCUACCUUUCAAUAUUAUUGUGCAAAACGUCCCUACCUUUCAUUUUUAGCAUUUUCACCCCUACCUUUCACCUUUCAUUGCAAAAAAGGUCAUUCUCAUCCAUUUUUUCAAUAAAAUGACGAUUUUACCCUCCUAUUCAAAUAAAACAAAAAGAAAAGAUGAAUUACCAACUGCAACCAUAAUCCUUAAAUUUUUAAAAAAUUACAAAAAAUCAUAAAUUCUCAACCACCACCAUUUUCACAACCUAUCAAGCUGCCAACUAUAAAUCCACAUAAUACCACCUUUCGGCCACCAUGCCCACCGGACUCCACCAUCGUAAAUGUGGUUGUUUCGGACAGAUUGGUGACCAAUACUAUGGAGGAGGAUAUUGGGGAGAGUGAGGCGACGCUGGUGGUGGUGGAGUCCUAUGUGUUGUGGUCGAAAAAUGGUGCUAUAUGGAUCUAUAGGUGGUGGCUUGGUGGGGUUGUAAAAGUGGCGGUAGUAGAGAAUUUAGGAUUUAUCUGUAAUGUUUUGAAAGAUUUAGAACUAUGAUUGUAAUUAAUUAAUUAUUUUUUUCUUUUCUUUUUGUUUUAUUUCAAUAGGAGGGAAAAAUCGUCAUUUUAUUGAAAAAAUGGAUGAGAAUGACCUUUUUUGCAAUGAAAGGUGAAAGGUAGGGGUGAAAAUGCUAAAAAUGAAAGGUAGGGACGUUUUGCACAAUAAUAUUGAAAGGUAGGGACCUUUUCUGCUAAUUAUGCUAAAAAAUAAAAGGUAGGGACGUUUUGCACAAUAACUUUGAAAGGUAGGGACCUUUUGUGCUAAUUACCUUUUUGAUUUAACGGAGCAUUUUAACGGAGAGUUGACAGAAGGACGUUUUGCGCAAAAAAAUGUAAAGGUAAGGGUGUAAUCCACCAAAAAAUGAAAAGUAGGGACGUUUUCCACAAAAACAUCGAAAGGUAGGGAUGUUUUGUGCUAAUUACCCAAUGGAAAGAAAAGGGACUGUUGGUUUUGUGAUGAAAAAUACCACCCAGGACAUAGAUGUAAUAAACCCAAAAUUUACCUUUUGGAAGGGAUGGAAGGAGAAGAAGAGGACAGCGUGGGUGCUGAAGGAGAGGAGAAAUCCUUGGUUGUGGUUGGAACUACUAAAGGAGAGGUUGGGGAGUUGCUAGGAAUAUCCCUACAUACUAUAGCUGGAUCAUUAACCAUAAAAACCAUGAGGUUGUUUGCUGAAAUUAAUCAUCACAAAGUUCUAGUUUUGAUUGAUACAGAAAGCACUCAUAGUUUUAUAGAUCCAUAUGUAGCAAGGAAGGCUAAUCUGUCAAGGGAAGAAAGCCACUUAACAGUUUAGGUGGCUAAUGGUACCACUCUUCCUUGCCUUGGUCAAUGUAAGGCCGUCUCUCUUACGUUACAAGAUCAUAAGUUUAUGGCUAAUUUAUAUAUGUUGAAUCCUGGAGGAUGUGAUGUCGUUAUGGGGGUUGAUUGGUUAAGUGGGUUAGGAUCUAUUUUAUGGAAUUUCUUUGAUUUAACUAUGAAGUUUCAGUAUGGAGGUCAAACGGUCCAAUUGCAGGGGAUUCAGAGACCAGUGAACAAUAUUGUGGAGGAAGAUCCUACUGUUAAACCUAAGGAGGGGUCGGUGAGAGGAAUUUGGUUGCAAAUCAUGGAUGGUAAUAAUGGUAAAGACAGAACAACACAACCAGCAGAGGUGCAGAAAAUUCUAGACAGUUUUAAAGAGGUCUUUGCCAAGCCUAUUGAACUGCCACUUCCUAGGAAUUUUGAUCACAAAAUUAAAUUAUUGGAAGGUACUAAACUCAUUUGUAUACCCUACAGGCACCCUUAUUACCAAAAGGAAGAGAUAGAGAAGCUGGCAGAUGAGUUACUAAAGAAUGGAAACAUAAGAAGCAGUCAAAGUCCCUAUUAUUCUUCGGUGCUACUUGUGAGAAAAGCUGAUGGGAGUUGGAGAAUAUGUGUGGAUUAUCAUGCACUCAACAAGGAGACCAUAAAAGAUAAGUAUCUUAUUCCAAACAUUGAUGAGUUGCUUGAUAAACUAGGAGGAGCUGAGGUAUUUUCUAAAUUAGAUUUGAAAUUGGGAUAUCAUCAGAUACGCAUAAAUCUUAAUGACAUCCCUAAAACUGCCUUCCGGGCACAUGAGGGGCAUUAUGAGUUUUUAGUAAUGCCCUUUGGGCUUACUAAUGCACCAUUUACAUUUCAAGGAGUGAUGAAUGAAGUAUUUAGACCCUAUUUGAGGAAGUUUGUGCUUGUGUUUUUUGAUGAUAUCUUAGUCUACAGCAAGUCUAUGCAAGAGCAUGUAAAACAUCUUACAAGAGCCUUGGAGUUUUCACAAGCUAACCAGUUUUAUGCAAAGCUGUCAAAGUGUGUUUUUUGCAGUAAAGAGGUGGAGUACUUGGGACAUAUUAUCUCAAAGGAAGGAGUUAAAGCAUAUCCUCAAAAGCUGGUUGCAAUGCAAGAAUGGCCAACUCCUAAGAACCUUAAGGCACUAAGAGGUUUUUUAGGACUCACAGGAUAUUACAGGAAAUUUGAUAAGAGAUAUGAGCAAUAGCAGCCCCAUUAACAGCUCUUCUAAGGAAAAACUCAUUUUCUUGGAAUGAUCAAGCACAUGGAGCAUUUGAGAGACUUAAGGAGGCGAUGGUAAGGCCACAAGUGCUUAGCUUACCUAAUUUCACUAAAACAUUUUGUGGUGGAAUGUGAUGCAUCAGGGAAAGCAUUGGGAGUUGUUUUAAUGCAAGAGGGGCAACCAAUAGCAUAUUUUAGCCAGGCUUUAAAGGAGAGAGAGGAAUCUAAACCUUUCCACUUAUGAAAAGGAAUUAUUGGCACUAGUGAUGGUAGUGAGGAAAUAGAGACACUACCUGUUGGGACAGUCCUUCAAGGUACGUACUGACCAUCAGGCACUCAAAUACCUACUGGAACAAAGGGUAGGGACCUCCUCACAACAAAAUUGGCUCUCUGAAUUGCUUGGGUAUGACUUCAUAGUGGAAUAUAGAAGUGUUGAGUAAUGCAGUAGCUGAUGCCUUAUCUCGGGUACAAUACUUAGAACUCCAAGACCCAAACAGUGACCAAAUACUAACCUAAACCACAAACCAAACCACACAAAAAAAUCGAAUUAUCCAAAACCAAGCCAUCAACAUUUUACAAGCUCAAUGGAUAGAAGAGUUGAAGAAGGCUUACCUCUAGGACCCCAUGUUGCAGCAGUUGAUAAGCCACUACCAUCAUGGAGACUUGGACUUAACUCGUUACCAACUCUGAAAUAAGUUACUCUUUUACAAGGGUAGACUACAUCUCAGGUCACUUGUUCCCUUCCAGCAGUAAAUCAUGCACCAGUUCCACAGCAGUCCAUUAGGAGGCCACACAAGAGUAUUAAAAAUCCACACAAGAAUAAAAAAGGAGUUUUACUGGCCUGGUCUGCGAAAUGAUGUCAUAACACAUAUCAAGGAGUGUGAUGUAUGCUAGAGGAAUAAAGUUGAAGCCCUCCAUCCUAUGGGGUUGCUUCAACCUUUACCUAUUCCUAGCAAAAACUGGGAAGAUAUUAGCAUGAAUUUCAUUGAAGGUUUGCCCCCUCAGGAGGAAAGACAGUGAUCCUUGUGGUGGUGGAUAGGCUAAAUAAGUAUUCUCAUUUUAUGCCUAUUAAUCAUCCAUACAUAGCACUAACGGUGGCUAGAGGUUUUAUGGAUAAUAUUUUCAAGUUACACUGGUUAUCACAAACAAUUGUUAGUGAUCGAGAUCCCGUGUUUACUAGCAAUUUCUGGAAUGAACUAGUCAGGUUAUGUGGAGCAGAUUUAUUACUUAGCACAACCUAUCAUCCCCGAACGGAUGGCCAAACAAAGGCAUGAAUAAAGUGCUCGAGUGCUAUCUCCAAUGUUUUUCCAGUGACAGAUCGAAAGAUUGGGCAAAAUGGUUACCUUUAGCUAAGUAUUCCUAUAAUACCUCAGUACAUACAUCCACGAAGGUAACAUCUUUUGAAGCUGUUUAUGGUCAGCCACUACCUCGAAUGUUACCAUAUGAGGUAAGAUCUACUAAAGUGCAAGCUGUUGAUGAAGAACUUUAGACCCGAGAGUUUAUUGCUAAACUCAUCGAGGAAAACCUGUAGGAAGCCCAAUCAAAGAUGAAAUAUUUCACUGAUAAAACAAAAAGGAACCAAGAGUUUGAAAUUGGAGACUCGGUUUGAAAUUGAAAUUGAAGACUUGGUUACGGUCGUAUCGGCAAAUGACAGUAGCAAUGCGAAGGAACUUGAAGAUCGCUCCGAGAUAUUUUGGGCCUUUUAGAGUGAUCCGAAAGGUUGGGUCAAAUUGCAUAUGAGCUCGAUCUAUCUCCUGAAGCUAAGAUCUAUCCCGUGUUUCAUAUUUCGUGCCUUAAGAGAAAGCUAGGAGAAGGAAUACAAGCUUGUGCACACCUACAGCUCAUCACGCCCAAAGGCUCCUUGGAAUCUGAACCCGAGAGAAUCUUGCGAAGGAGGUUGAAAAGAAAAGGAAAUGUUGCCGGAGUUUGACUUGCGAAGGAGGUUGAAAAGAAAAGGAAAUGUUGCCGGAGUUUGGUCUUGGUACAAUUGGCUGGGGCCAGCGAGGAAUAUGCUACUUGGGAAGACCUAGAUACCCUAAGGAGGCGAUUUCAUAACAUUGAGGACAUUGUUUCCUAAGAAGGGGGUCUGUUAUGAGUCUGUCUUCAAUUGUUAAACUAUGCCGUUUUGUUGUUGACUGGGUCGUGUCAUAGGCUGUAUCUUAGUGGGUAGUUAUUUCAUUUUAUUAUGGGUCAGUUACUGUUUACUAGGUCAGUUGUUUAUUUCCGUAAGUAAUGGGCU